rnacentral:rRNA from 1 species
AACGAACGCUGGCGGCAUGCCUAACACAUGCAAGUCGAACGAGAACUUCGGGUAGCGUGGCGCACGGGUGAGUAAUGCGGGGGAACCUGCCAUUAGGUUCGGAAUAACUCGCCGGAAGGGGUGCAAAUACCGGAAAGUGUGUUCGGACCAAAUAAUUAUGGCAUAUGGAAGGGCCCGGAUUUGAUUAGCUAGUAGGUAGGGUAAAGGCGUACCAAGGUGACGAUCAGUAGCUGGACUGAGAGGAUUAUAAGCCACACUGGAACUGAGACACGGGCCCGACUCCGACGGGAGGCAGCAGUCGGGAAUAUUGCACAAUGGGGGCAAGCCUGAUGCAGCCAUGCCGCGUGGAUGAAGAAGGCCUUAGGGUUGUAAAGUACUUUCAGCGGGGAGGAAGGGAGUAAAGUUAAUACCUGUGCUCAUUGACGUUACCCGCAGAAGAAGCACCGGCUAACUCCGUG